rnacentral:lncRNA from 1 species
ACGUACAUAGAUAGAAUCUCCUUAUUAAGAAUUAAUGGAUAGAAACUCAACUUAUCCCAAUGUUAGCUAGAAAAAACAAGAACCUGUUUUUAUUAUGAACCAUAACAUAAUUAACACUCUAAAUCAGUCUUCCGUCUUAGUAGAUACUAGCGAGUUUUCGAACCUUGGUUAUGAUGGAGUCGAAAGAAUAAGAUAGGAAGACAAUUUUUCUUUUGGGAUGAACAUAGGAAGGUAUUUAUACAUGACCAAUAUAAUAUCGACAAGAUAUCGAUCACAAACUUGCAUAAUAUUUCAGUGAUAGGAUGGGACUUAUCCGAUGGAAAGAGGCUGCAGAAAACCCCAAAGCCAAAGGAAUAUAUUGUACACAGCCAGCCUGUGAUCUCAAAGCUGACUCCCUAUAUUGCAGAGAUGAGGCAAUCACACUGAACCUGUACCACAUAGCUAGCUAUCCAGCUCGAUCUGUAUCGAAAAGAAAUAGCAUGCAGUUGAUAUGUUUGUUGAGAUAAUAGACCUCAGCAAGCUUAAUAUUGAAGGUGAAGGAAAAUGCAGCACUGCCAUUUCAACCGAUUGUGACAAAGCUGACUCAUCAGAGAAUGAAGACAAGAAUGCAGGAGCUUUGGUGAUAGGCAUGUGACCAUUCACACCUCUCAUGCAGCUAUACACAGCACAGCAGCCUUAGUCCUUAUCCUCAACCUUCAAUUUGAAUUUUUUUGUCUCUAUUUGAGCAGUGAUCUUGACCGUGCACGUAUUCAUCUCUCAUUACAGCUGAAGAUAUUUUUACUAUUUGUCUUGCUGUAUAUAAGUGUGCACAGUGUCCAUUGUCAAUGAUGUGUGACAAUUCCUUCUGUAAAAAUUCCUUUUCAAUUACAUAUUAAUACUAGCUGUUAUUCUCAAUUUCUUCAAAUUAUUUCUUUGUUUCUCUUCAGUGCUAUCAUCUUGUUCUCAACUACGUUUCUCUCUUGGUGUAAGUUUCUACUUAUUCAUCAAGACUUUUACACUCAAAUACAGAUUGUUACUGUGAUGAAGAAUUUCAGCAUGGUAUCAGAGCUGAAGGCAGCCUGACCAUUGCUCAUCACAAAGUCUUCCGCUGACAAUUUUUUCAAACAGUCUUUUUCACAAACAAAUUGUUCUUAAGUUGCUUUCAAGCUUCUUUCAAUAUCUGUGAACAACUCUUUUUUUAUCUACAGCUUGUAUUAAAUUACUCAUCUGCUCAGAUCUCACUUUUUACACAACUUCAUUCUCACCUGUCUUUUUCUUGUUACAGUCCUUCUCCCACAGUUUCUAUUGAGGGUUACAAGUAUUACGUUACUAUCAUUGAUGAAUGUACUAGAUACACAUGGAUUUUUCCAUUGAGAAAUAAAAAAGAAGUACUACCUUUGUUUCAAGCUUUCUGUGCUUUUAUCUUGAAUCACUUUUCAGCUUCAGUUAAAAUUUUUCAAUCAGAUGGGGGAGGGGAAUUUAAUAGCCACUGCUUUCAUGAUUUUUUAUCAAAAAAUGGGAUUGUUCAUCAAAUUUCAUGUCCUUAUACACCACAACAGAAUGGCUUAGCUGAAAGAAAAAAUCGACACAUUGUUGAAACAGCCAUAACCUUGCUUCAUGAUUCUCACCUUCCUCUAAUGUUUUGGUAUCAUGCCUGUGCUGCAGCUGUUUAUCUGAUAAACAGGAUGCCUUGCAAUAAUUUGUCCAUGCAAUCUCCUUUUGAAGCUCUCUUUCAUAAAAUUUCUGUGAUUGAUCAUAUUAGAAUUUUUGGUUGUACUUGUUACCCACUGCUAAAACCAUAUAACUCCAAUAAAUUGCAACCAAAGUCUGCUCCUUGUGUUUUUCUUGGGUAUGCCUUAGGGUACAAAGGGUUUAUUUGCUUUAAUCCUGUGUCUAAGAAAACAAUAAAAACCAGGAAUGUUAUCUUUGAUGAGAGCAGCUUUUAUUAUAAGAAGGGUGAAAGUCAUAACAGUGUUGAUCAGGUUUUUCAGUUCUUCUCCACUCCAUGUCCUUUGGCUUCUACUGCAGGAAAUAAUUCACACACACCAUCAUCAAUGCCUGACCUUGUUCAGCUUGAUUCACCACCUGAAACACUGAGUUCUUCAUCAACAGCAACUGAGUUCACAGCUUCAACUCCAGUUGAUUCUUCAGUACAGCCUGUCUUUCCUGGUACAACUAACUCUUCACAUGAUCAUGCUUCUACAGAAACUAAUGUUGUAACCUCAGAUGAGCAGCCUGGUAAUGUGGAUCUAAAUGUGCUUCAGUAUAACAUUGAUCAGCCUCUAAUUAUAGACAACAGUUCUACAUGUGCUCCAAGAACUGAGAAUCUUGUGAGCUACACUGAUGAGCCCUACAUCCCAAUUUCAGAUGUUCACAUUGAUAUUCAAGGUCCUUCUGCUCAAUCCUAUGACAAACUCACUGAUUUUGUUCCUCUUUCCAAUUUGAACACAAAUGAUCACCCAAUGAUGACAAGGAGCAAGCAUGGUAUUUACAAGAAAAGGAUUUUUUAUGCUGCUAAUGCUGCUAUACAGGUUUCUCCAGACAAAGAGCCACACUCUUAUAAACAAGCCCUUCAAGUCCCAGAGUGGAAGCAGGCAAUGCAAGAAGAAUUUGAUGCUCUAAAGAAUCAGGGUACUUGGUACCUGGUUCCUCCACAAAUCUGUAAGAAUGUUGUGAGUUGCAAGUGGAUUUUUAAACUAAAGAAAAAUGUUGAUGGAACAAUUUCAAGACACAAGGCUAGGUUAGUUGCAAGAGGGUUCAGUCAGGAAGAAGGUGUUGAUUAUGAAGAAACUUUCAGCCCGAUUGUCAGGCAUACUACUGUGAGGUUGUUCUUGGCUCUUGCAGCUCAAUACAAUUGGAAGUUGCAUCAGAUGGAUGUAAAAAAUGCCUUUCUACAUGGUGUUUUAAAGGAAGAAGUAUAUAUGACUCAACCACAGGGUUUUGAAGAUCAGAGAAAUCCUCAUUUUGUCUGCAGACUUGUGAAAUCUCUAUAUGGCCUAAAACAGGCACCAAGAGCUUGGAAUGAAAGGUUUACAUCUUUUCUCCCAUCAUUGGGUUUUAAAAGCUCACAUUCUGAUCCCUCACUGUUUGUUAAAGGUAGUGAUACCUUCAUGGUGUAUCUGCUUCUUUAUGUGGAUGACAUCAUAAUUACAGGAAAUGAUGAGAAUGAAAUUGGAGCAGUCAAGCUUGCUUUACAGUUGGAAUUUGAAAUGAAGGACUUAGGGCCACUUCAUUACUUUCUUGGUUUGCAGAUUGAAUAUCUACCUAAUGGAGGAAUUUUUAUUUCUCAAUCAAGGUAUGCUUCUGAGGUGUUAAUUAAGGCUGGUAUGUCAGGAAAGAAAAGUUGCUCUACUCCAUGCCUUCCUUAUGCAAAAUUGAUAAUGGAUGAUGGACCAAAGUUUGCAGAUGUGACACAUUAUAGAAGUGUAGUUGGAUGUCUACAAUAUUUAACCUUUACCAGACCUGAUCUAGCCUACAGUGUGAACACUGUGUGUCAGUUCAUGCCUGCUCCAUCUGAAGCACAUUAUGCUGCAGUAAAAAGAAUUCUUAGAUAUCUGAUUGGGACUGUUAAUUAUGGCCUGACUUACAAGCCUGCUCCCUCUCCUCUUGAACUCAGAGCCUUUUCAGAUGCUGAUUGGGCAGGUGAUCCAAAUGAUAGGAGGUCAACAACUGGUUUUGUGAUUUACUUGGGGAACUGUCCAAUUUCUUGGUGUUCAAAGAAACAACAUUCUAUGUCACGUUCUUCUACUGAGGUAGAGUAUAGGGCUAUGGCAGACACUGCAAGUGAAGUCUUUUGGCUCAGACACUUAUUGCAGGAUAUCUCAGUGUAUUUACCACUUGCACCAUUAUUGCAUUGUGACAAUGUCUCAGCUAUUUCACUUGCCACAAACCCAGUUCACAAGACUAAAUGCAAACAUGUGGAGGUAGACAUUCACUUCACAAGAGAAAAGGUAGCUAGAGGUGAGCUGGAUCUUAUUUUUGUGCCCUCUCUGGAACAAUUUGCUGAUUUGUUUACCAAGGGAUUGAGUACUGCUCAGUUCCAGUAUUUAUGCUGCAAUCUAGUACUUGGUAAUCCUAGCACUAGCUUGAGGGGGGCUGUUGAGAUAAUAGACCUCAGCAAGCUUAAUAUUGAAGGUGAAGGAAAAUGCAGCACUGCCAUUUCAACCGAUUGUGACAAAGCUGACUCAUCAGAGAAUGAAGACAAGAAUGCAGGAGCUUUGGUGAUAGGCAUGUGACCAUUCACACCUCUCAUGCAGCUAUACACAGCACAACAGCCUUAGUCCUUAUCCUCAAUCUUCAAUUUGAAUUUUCUUGUCUCUAUUUGAGCAGUGAUCUUGACCGUGCACGUAUUCAUCUCUCAUUACAGCUGAAGAUAUUUUUACUAUUUGUCUUGCUGUAUAUAAGUGUGCAAAGUGUCCAUUGUCAAUGAUGUGUGACAAUUCCUUAUGUAAAAAUUCCUUUUCAAUUACAUAUUAAUACAAGCUGUUAUUCUCAAUUUCUUCAAAUUAUUUCUUUGUUUCUCUUCAGUGCUAUCAUCUUGUUCUCAACUACGUUUCUCUCUUGGUGUAAGUUUCUACUUAUUCAUCAAGACUUUUACACUCAAAUACAGAUUGUUACUGUGAUGAAGAAUUUCAGCAAUGUUUUCCUGUUUCUGUUUCUUUCCUUAUGUUUUGGAAUCAUCUUAAUCAAGAUUCUAAUUGAGGGCACAAUUCUCUACACUUACACGACUAGAUUAACAAAUGAAGUUGUGUCAUUUAGUACUUGAGCUUCACGUUUAUUAGCUAGCUUGUCAAAAAGAGCAAGCAGACAAGACAGCAGACAAUUUUCAACAAAUCUUGCCCAGAUUUUGUAAUCAAAGGUUUCUGAAUGCUAUAUAUUACUCUAAAUUUUUCUAAGUGGGGAAUUUUUGUUUUUCAUCGUGACUUUUAUGUCUCGUCUUAUAAUUAAGUUAAUUAAACACUGUUCAUCAUUACUUUAC